UCUGGAAGUUAGGCUCUCCAGCAUCCAUGUUGAGAGCUAUAAAUUUAUCAACCUUUUGCUUUUGAGUAACAAUCUUGUCUGAGGAACGUCUUUUGGAGGGAUUUCUGUAGAUCUAUUGUCAUUUCUGAUGAGUUACUGGAUUUGGAAUGGAGAAAUCUGAUCUGGGUCUUGUUGGGUUUUCUUUUUAAGGAUCGAAAUCCAUCAUUAGAUGGGUUUGGAGUUAGGAUCUUGUUUGGAAGAGGGGCUUUCUUUGAGAUUUCUCUCACUUCUGUGCUGAUUUUGGUUGACUGAGAAGAAUCUUCAGGUUAGAUAUAAAUUUUGGUGGGUCUUGUUUGGAAGGCGUUUUUUUUUUUUUUUUUCAAAAUCUCGUCGAGAAUAAGCAUUUUCGGAUCGGAUCUUGUGAUUUUUCGUGCUGAAUUCUGGUGUUCAAGGUUUGAGAAUUACAAUAUUCGAUCUGGGUUUUUGUUGGAUUCCUUUUUAAUGAUGAAAUUCAUAGAGAAUUUCCAUCUUUAAUGAAGAUAUUGUCAGAAAGAGGCGGUGUAUGGACGGUUUCUGUGGAAUUUUAGCAGAAUUCAAUAGUUUCUGUGGCACGCGUUAUGCGAAUUGGACGUGGGUUUGCUCUAUAAGGUUCUUUAAAUGGCUGGAGAGGAAUUGAUCGAGCUUAAAUUCAGGCUUUUCGACGGUACUGAUAUUGGGCCAAACAAGUAUGAUCCUGCGACCACCAUUGGAUCUCUCAAAGAAGUCAUCAUAAAUCGAUGGCCACAAGACAAAGAAAAUGCUCCAAAAACAAUAAACGACGUGAAGCUCAUCAAUGCGGGUAAAAUACUGGAGAACAACAGGACCCUUGCCGAGUCAAGGGUGCCGGUCGGAGAGCUUCCCGGGGGAGUCAUCACCAUGCAUGUUGUUCUUCGGCCUCCCUUAUCGGACAAAAACAACGAUAAGGUGAAAACAGACUCCCCGAAGAGCAGAUGUGCAUGUUCUAUUCUGUGACAGCGAGGAAUGGUUUGACAUUCUCGUCCACUCAAGUUCUCUGUCUUGUAUAUUUCAGUAGACUGGUAGUCGACCCCUUUGGGAGCCUUAUCUUUUCCCCUGCACCGACUUGGAAAAUUGGCCACAGUAAGCUUGGAGGUUGUCGGUUUCAACUGUAUUUUCAGUCACGAGCUCGAAGGUCUCUUGCAUAGAACUUGGUGUUUCAUCUGAAUGGUUAAUGUUAAGACAGCAAAUGCAUGUGUAUGCUGCCAUGAUAGAGUCUCUUUGGGUGAGUAGUUCCAAACUCUGUUUGCACAAUGAUCUUCUGUGUGAAUUUCAUUUCCUCACUGAAUCAUAGGCAGAUACUAGUUGGUUCCAUGUAGGACGUGUUUGAACAGACCAUAUCAUUGUGGCCCACUUUCCAAGUGUUUGGUUGGUCCACCAACAGUAGCUACCCUCCAAACUGUCCAAACUAUUAUAUAGAUCAAAACAGUAAAUUUACUAUACACACAGAUGAGAAGGUAUCAGGUCCAAUCGGUUGGACUAUAAGUUAGAUAACUUUCAACCUUUCACAUCCUUGUGAUGUCCCAACUCAUCCAAUAGGUUGGCCCCAUCAUGAGGAUCACCUUGACCAAAAAUCAGCCACAUCCACUCAUUGAAUGGACUGCACUUGUAUUUUACUAUUUAUCAAUGGAUAUAAAUUCGUUU